CUACGGGGUGCUCCAGUGGGGAAUAUUGGACAAUGGGGGCAACCCUGAUCCAGCCAUGCCGCGUGUGUGAAGAAGGCCUUAGGGUUGUAAAGCACUUUCAGAUGUGAGGAAAGGUGUGUGCUUAAUACGUACAUACUGUGACGUUAGCAUCAGAAGAAGGACCGGCUAACUCCGUGCCAGCGGCCGCGGUAAUACGGAGGGUCCGAGCGUUAAUCGGAAUUACUGGGCGUAAAGCGCGCGUAGGUGGUUUCGUCAGUCAGAUGUGAAAGCCCCGGGCUCAACCUGGGAAUUGCACCUGAUACUGCGGAACUAGAGUACGAUAGAGGGGAGUGGAAUUUCCGGUGUAGCGGUGAAAUGCGUAGAGAUCGGAAGGAACACCAGUGGCGAAGGCGACUCCCUGGAUUGAUACUGACACUGAGGUGCGAAAGCGUGGGGAGCAAACAGGAUUAGAUACCCGAGUAGUC
rnacentral:rRNA from 1 species